rnacentral:rRNA from 1 species
CCUACGGGUGGCAGCAGUGGGGAAUAUUGGGCAAUGGACGCAACUCUUACCCAGCAAUGCCGCGUGAAUGAAGAAGGCCUUCGGGUUGUAAAGUUCUUUAAUUGGGGACGAAAAAAAUUCCGGUACCCAAGGAUUAAGCCCCGCCUAACUACGUGCCAGAAGCCGCGGUAUUACGUAGGGGGCAAGCGUGGUUCGGAUUGACUGGGCGUAAAGGGUUUGUAGGCGGUGUAGCAAGUUAGAAGUGAAAUACCUAGAGCUUAACUCAGGUGCUGCUUCUAAAACGGCUAUACUUGAGUGCAGUAGAGGAAAGUGGAAUUCCUAGUGGAGCGGUGGAAUGCGUAGAUAUUAGGAGGAACAUCAGUGGGGAAGGCGAGUUUCUGGACUGUAACUGACGCUGAGGCACGAAAGUGUGGGGAGCAAACAGGAUUAGAUACCCUUGUAGUC